rnacentral:rRNA from 1 species
UCCAGACUCCUACGGGAGGCAGCAGUGGGGAAUAUUGCACAAUGGGGGGAACCCUGAUGCAGCAACGCCGCGUGAGUGAAGAAGUCAUUCGUGAUGUAAAGCUCUAUCAGCAGGGAAGAAAAUGACGGUACCUGAGUAAGAAGCCCCGGCUAACUACGUGCCAGCAGCCGCGGUAAUACGUAGGGGGCAAGCGUUAUCCGGAUUUACUGGGUGUAAAGGGAGCGUAGACGGCCAGACAAGUCUGAAGUGAAAAUCCAGCGCUUAACGCUGGAAGUGCUUUGGAAACUGCCGGGCUGGAGUGCAGGAGGGGCAGGCGGAAUUCCUAGUGUAGCGGUGAAAUGCGUAGAUAUUAGGAGGAACACCGGUGGCGAAGGCGGCCUGCUGGACUGUGACUGACGUUGAGGCUCGAAAGCGUGGGGAGCAAACAGGAUUAGAUACCCGAGUA